GCCCGCGUGGUGUAGUGGUAUCACAUCCUACUCUUAACAGACCUAGUACUAGCCGACUGAUGGCAGGAACAGACCUGGCUUAGAUUUGGGAAGAUCGCUGGUUCAACCCCAGCCGCGGGUA
rnacentral:tRNA from 1 species